rnacentral:rRNA from 1 species
UGAGGAAUAUUGGACAAUGGGCGAAAGCCUGAUCCAGCAAUACCGCGUGAGUGAAGAAGGCCUUAGGGUUGUAAAGCUCUUUCAGCAGGGAAAAUAAUGAUGGUACCUGCAAAAGAAGUUCCGGCUAACUCCGUGCCAGCAGCCGCGGUAAUACGGAGGGAACUAGCGUUGUUCGGAUUUACUGGGCGUAAAGAGCGCGUAGGCGGGUUAUUAAGUUAGAAGUGAAAGCCCAGGGCUCAACCCUGGAACUGCUUCUAAAACUGAUAACCUAGAGUAUGGGAGGGGACAGUGGAAUUCCUAGUGUAGAGGUGAAAUUCUUAGAUAUUAGGAGGAACACCGGUGGCGAAAGCGACUGUCUGGAACAUUACUGACGCUGAGGUGCGAAAGCGUGGGGAGCAAACAGG